rnacentral:rRNA from 1 species
GACGAACGCUGGCGGCGUGCUUAACACAUGCAAGUCGAACGGAAAGGCCCUGCUUUUGUGGGGUGCUCGAGUGGCGAACGGGUGAGUAACACGUGAGUAACCUACCCUUGACUUUGGGAUAACUUCAGGAAACUGGGGCUAAUACCGGAUAGGAGCUCCUGCUGCAUGGUGGGGGUUGGAAAGUUUCGGCGGUUGGGGAUGGACUCGCGGCUUAUCAGCUUGUUGGUGGGGUAGUGGCUUACCAAGGCUUUGACGGGUAGCCGGCCUGAGAGGGUGACCGGCCACAUUGGGACUGAGAUACGGCCCAGACGCCUACGGGAGGCAGCAGGGGGGAAUAUUGCACAAUGGGCGGAAGCCUGAUGCAGCAACGCCGCGUGCGGGAUGACGGCCUUCGGGUUGUAAACCGCUUUCGCCUGUGACGAAGCGUGAGUGACGGUAAUGGGUAAAGAAGCACCGGCUAACUACGUG